rnacentral:rRNA from 1 species
GACGAACGCUGGCGGCGUGCUUAACACAUGCAAGUCGAACGGAAAGGCCCUGCUUGCAGGGUACUCGAGUGGCGAACGGGUGAGUAACACGUGGGUGAUCUGCCCUGCACUUCGGGAUAAGCCUGGGAAACUGGGUCUAAUACCGGAUAGGAGCCAUUUUUAGUGUGAUGGUUGGAAAGUUUUUUCGGUGUAGGAUGAGCUCGCGGCCUAUCAGCUUGUUGGUGGAGUAAUGGCCUACCAAGGCGGCGACGGGUAGCCGGCCUGAGAGGGUGGACGGCCACAUUGGGACUGAGAUACGGCCCAGACUCCUACGGGAGGCAGCAGUGGGGAAUAUUGCACAAUGGGCGCAAGCCUGAUGCAGCGACGCCGCGUGGGGGAUGACGGCCUUCGGGUUGUAAACUCCUUUCGCUAGGGACGAAGCUUUUUGUGACGGUACCUAGAGAAGAAGCACCGGCUAACUACGUG